AAGAAAGAAAAAGAAAAAAGAAAAAAAUGCACUGUGGCCGGAAUGAAAGGAUAGAUUUUUUGAGCCACAGGUCUUGCCCUAGGGUGAGACCUCAGAAGUAGAAAAUGAAGGGAUUGUGGAUCUUUGAAUAAGAGGUGUCAAUGGUGUGUGCAACCUACAAGCCAGGCGCAGCCACCCAUCUUCAAUAACCUGAUUAAAGGAGCCAAGUUAAGGGUGAGAAGCAAAAAGAGGACACUUACUCAAGGUGGCCAUAUUGGGAAGAGGGAGAAAGAGUCCUACUGAUGGGCUGGAGAGAUGGCUCAGUGUAAGAGUUCUUGAGUACCACACUCAAGUCCCAGGCAAGGACUCCAGUCUCUUAGCCAUUUUUCCAUGGUAAACUGAAGAAGUAAAUGGUAGUGGAAGUAAGUUCCAGAAAGAUCUUGGGUUCUCUGGGAAUCCAGCCAAUAUGGAAUGAGGUGGAAGAACUGGUUGUUGAACAGCUAACUGGGCUGCCAUUUAUCUUCCCGGGUCCUACCUUGAGUUCCUGCCCUGACUUCUCUGGAUGAUGAACUACAAGCUGUAAGGCGAAAUAAACCCUUUCUUCCCCAA
rnacentral:sRNA from 1 species